UACGGAGGAUCCAAGCGUUAUCCGGAAUUACUGGGCGUAAAGAGUUGCGUAGGUGGCAAGGUAAGCAGAUAGUGAAAGCGUGUGGCUCAACCAUACAUCCAUUAUCUGAACUGCUUAGCUUGAAGACGAGAGAGGUAGAUGGAAUUCCCAGUGUAGGAGUGAAAUCCGUAGAUAUUGGGAGGAACACCGAUGGCGUAAGCAGUCUACUGGCUCGUUCUUGACACUAAGGCACGAAAGCGUGGGGAGCAAACGGG
rnacentral:rRNA from 1 species